rnacentral:rRNA from 1 species
CGGAAGGUCCGGGCGUUAUCCGGAUUUAUUGGGUUUAAAGGGAGCGUAGGCCGGAGAUUAAGCGUGUUGUGAAAUGUAGAUGCUCAACAUCUGCACUGCAGCGCGAACUGGUUUCCUUGAGUACGCACAAAGUGGGCGGAAUUCGUGGUGUAGCGGUGAAAUGCUUAGAUAUCACGAAGAACUCCGAUUGCGAAGGCAGCUCACUGGAGCGCAACUGACGCUGAAGCUCGAAAGUGCGGGUAUCGAACAGGAUU